GAUAAAUAUUUCAGGUCUGCAAUUGAAAGUCAUUCUACAAAUUCUAAAGCAAUCGAAGAGGUGUUUGAAGGAAAGAAGGAUGAGUUUCUGCAUAAACACGUGCAUGUGUUGCAUGUGUAAAACUGUGCAGUGCACUUGCAAAUGAUGCACUGAGAGCUAAGUAAUCAUGCAACCUCGUGCUAAAAAGAAAAAAAGUAUGCUUGUUCUCCUUGCAAACACCUUGUUUCAGAGCAGCAAACCACAAAACCACUACAGCGUGUAAAAGCGAUGUAAUUGUACUCCGUGCUUCUAAAAAGACAACAAUAGAGGAACUGUGCAAUUUGCUUCCUGUCUGUUUAACUUUUGUAAAUCAUUUGUAACUCGACUGGGAGCAGAGAAUGCCAAGAGCAGGAGUUCGUAGAGUGAAAUCGAAGAGAAAUCCACACACACACGAACCGGCUCGCGGAGGGAAGAUGAAGAGGAAGUGCACAGCACAUUGUUGUGAAAAUGAAACAAGUCUAAAGAGAUGCAGCCGAACCUCCAUCUGUCAGUUAUCGUCAUCUUCAGGCCAUGAUCAGUUCCAUGAUACCCCACACUCCGCUAAUGUCUAAAGGAAAAGUGUGAGUCGUUUCUGAAUGCUGACAAGCUGGUGAAAAACAGCCUCCUCCUUCUCGUCCUCCUGCUGAACAUCUGUCUCUGCAGCACUGGAGCUCCUCCACUGAUGCCCACAGAUGGGACUCACAGUAGGAGCCCAUAGCCAAAUGAACCAAAAG